AUGAUGGGUUUAUGGUUUAGAACUGUUUCAUUUAUAUUACAACGAAUUUUUUUAAUAGGUGAAAAUACCUAUAGAAAAAUAUUAGACGAGAAGACCCUUAGAGUUUUAAUAAAAAUUUUAAUAUUUUAAAUUAUGUUUUUGUUGGGGCGACAUUUUAUUAAUAUAUACAAUUUAAUAACAUAAAUUAAGCAUACUAAUCAUAUAACUUAAGGUUUUUUAAGAAGAAUAUAACUACCUGAGGGAUAACAGCAUAAU
rnacentral:rRNA from 1 species